ACAAGCAGCGGAGCGUGUGGUUUAAUUCGAUGCAACGCGAAGAACCUUACCAGGGUUUGACAUGCUUAAAGUAGGAACUCGAAAGAGGGACGACCUGUAUCCAGUCAGGAGUUUGCACAGGUGCUGCAUGGCUGUCGUCAGCUCGUGCCGUGAGGUGUUAGGUUAAGUCCUGCAACGAGCGCAACCCUCGUCGCUAGUUGUUUUCUCUAGCGAUACUGCCCGUAUAACGUGGAGGAAGGUGGGGAUGACGUCAAGUCAGCAUGGCCCUUACAUCCUGGGCUACACACACGCUACAAUGGAUGAUACAACAGGUUGCAAUAGAGUGAUCUGGAGCUAAUCCUCAAAAUCAUCCUCAGUACGGAUUGCAGGCUGCAACUGCCUGCAUGAAGUUGGAGUUGCUAGUAAACGCAGGUCAGCACACUGCGUUGAAUACGUUCUCGGGCCUU
rnacentral:rRNA from 1 species